AAGGUUUGGUCCUAGCCUUGAAGUCAAUUCUUAUUUAACAUACACAUGCAAGUUUCCGCACCCCUGUGAGAACGCCCUCUAGCUUCCUUUUAGGAAACAGGAGCUGAUAUCAGGCACACUUCCUUGCCCAUGACAUCUAGCCUCGCCACACCCACAAGGGACUUCAGCAGUGAUUAACAUUGAGCAUAAGCGACAGCUUGACUCAGUUAAAUUAAUUAGAGCCGGCCAAUCUGGUGCCAGCCGCCGCGGUUACACCACUGUGGCUCAAAUUGACCUCCAUCGGCGUAAAGCGUGAUUUAAGCACACCAUUAUUUGGGGCUAAAUUAGAACUAAGCUGUAACACGCUUGUCCCCUAGAAACUCCUAUACGAAAGUUGCUCCAACUUAUUCCACUUGAACUCACGACAACUGAGAAACAAACUGGGACUAGAUACCCCACUAUGCUCAGUAGUAAACCUUAAUAUACUUAUCCCUUUCUCGCCUGGGAACUACGAGCCAAGCUUAAAACCCAAAGGACUUGACGGUACCCCAUAUCCCCCUAGAGGAGCCUGUCCUGUAAUCGAUAACCCCCGUUAAACCUCACCAUUUUUAGUUUAUCAGCCUGUAUACCUCCGUCGUCAGCUUACCCCGUGAGCGCUAGUGAGCUUAAUGUUCUUUCAACUAAACGUCAGGUCAAGGUGCAACAUAUAAAAUGGGAAGAGAUGGGCUACACUUUCUACCCUAGACAACACGAAAGACUAUUUAUGCAACCUAGUCGGAAGGCGGAUUUAGAAGUAAAAUAGGACCAGAAAGCCUAUUUUAACCCGGCACUGGGGUGUGUACACACCGCCCGUCACCCUCCUCAAUGCUAUAAGGAAGUUUAUAACACCUUUCAGCUGAACAGAAGAGGCAAGUCGUAACAUGGUAAGUAUACCGGAAGGUGUGCUUGGAAA
rnacentral:ncRNA from 1 species